rnacentral:rRNA from 1 species
AUACGUAGGUGACAAGCGUUAUCCGGAUUUACUGGGCGUAAAGGGCGUGUAGGCGGUCUUGCAAGUCAGAAGUGAAAUUCCUGAGCUCAACUCGGGCGCUGCUUCUGAAACUGCAGGACUUGAGUGCUGGAGGGGAUAGCGGAAUUCCUAGUGGAGCGGUAAAAUGCGCAGAUAUUAGGAAGAACACCGGUGGCGAAGGCGGCUAUCUGGACAGUAACUGACGCUGAGGCGCGAAAGCGUGGGGAGCAAACAGGAUUAGAUACCCUGUGAGUCCACGCCGUAAACGAUGAAUACUAGGUGUAGGGGGUAUCGACUCCCUCUGUGCCGCAGUUAACACAAUAAGUAUUCCGCCUGGGGAGUACGGCCGCAAGGUUGAAACUCAAAGGAAUUGACGGGG